GAAGUCAAGGAGGAACUUGGAGGUGUGACAGCCGAUGGGGAUCAACAGCAACGAGGAGUGGAGAACGUGAAGAAUGAGAAGUCGGCUGUUGUGGAGGACAAAGCAGCAGCAUUGGGGUUGAGGCAAUCGAAUGGCUACGAAAGGAGACGAUUAUUAUUUCUAUUAUAAUACUGAAUGCCUGAAGGGUGACCAAUGCCCUUUCCGUCACAGUCAAGCUGCACUCGGUAACAACACUGUCUGUAUGUACGUUGUGGCUACAAGGAUCGUGCUUUUGAUCAGCAUGUCCGUUCAGCAUGUCCGUUCAGACAUAUGCAUAUCACCGUGAAUGGUGACACGUUCGUCUAUUUCUCACAUUCUUGUGAGAAUGUCGAAUGUUUAGCCGUUGAAGAGUGAGUUGUCGUGUUGCUUUGAGAUUCAACCGAGUGGCUGCCUCAAGCCCAACUGUCCUUUCAAGCAUUUCAAGCCGCGAGAAAUGUGAGCACACUGGGAACGAGCUCGAUGGUGAUGUCAACGACAUAGCCAGUUGUUGCUGUCACACCGUCUGUUCGUGUUUCUACCAACUUGGUUAAAGCACAGGACACGGAGACGCCAAAUUUCCUUGGAGUUGUAAAGGAAGGGAUGACGUCUCUAUCAGCCCAGUCAGACAACAACGGAACAUCAAAUUUGACUGUUAGUGGGCAGAUAGUCACACCAACAAAACCGAUAGGAGCAUCUUCUUCUGCGUGCAGUUUGGCAUGGGAAUGGUCUGCUAACCACAUAACUCAGGAAUUGGGUAUAGCAAUUGAGUUUUAGAGCAGCAGUUGAAAAAAUUCUUGGACAUGUGAAGAAGAUUGCAUAUAUUUGGAAGGUUGGAUCAAUGAAUGGCAUGUCAAAGUAGUGUCCAGCAAAAUCAUGCCACUAUUCAAGCUGCUAGUGCAAUAGCUGUGACAUUUGUUUACCAGUUUACGAUGCUGUAUAAUUCAAUUCU